rnacentral:rRNA from 2 species
CUUGGUCAUUUAGAGGAAGUAAAAGUCGUAACAAGGUCUCCGUUGGUGAACCAGCGGAGGGAUCAUUACCGAGUUUACAACUCCCAAACCCCUGUGAACAUACCAAUUGUUGCCUCGGCGGAUCAGCCCGCUCCCGGUAAAACGGGACGGCCCGCCAGAGGACCCCUAAACUCUGUUUCUAUAUGUAACUUCUGAGUAAAACCAUAAAUAAAUCAAAACUUUCAACAACGGAUCUCUUGGUUCUGGCAUCGAUGAAGAACGCAGCAAAAUGCGAUAAGUAAUGUGAAUUGCAGAAUUCAGUGAAUCAUCGAAUCUUUGAACGCACAUUGCGCCCGCCAGUAUUCUGGCGGGCAUGCCUGUUCGAGCGUCAUUUCAACCCUCAAGCCCCCGGGUUUGGUGUUGGGGAUCGGCGAGCCCUUGCGGCAAGCCGGCCCCGAAAUCUAGUGGCGGUCUCGCUGCAGCUUCCAUUGCGUAGUAGUAAAACCCUCGCAACUGGUACGCGGCGCGGCCAAGCCGUUAAACCCCCAACUUCUGAAUGUUGACCUCGGAUCAGGUAGGAAUACCCGCUGAACUUAAGCAUAUCAAUAAGCGGAGGA